GAUUGCUUCAUUUUUUUUAAAAAAAAUUUCCCCCUUUUUUCCCUUCUGGAUCAUCCAAUACACAUCAUCAAAAAAUGGAGAGUAAUGUUCUUUUUUGAUGACGAUUUUCUUUCUUUUUUGGAAUGUCCCACGAUAGAAUAAGGUAGGGUAGGGUAGGGUAGGAUGAGAGGCUGGAUUAUUUGGGCCGCUGGAGGAGAACGACGGGAGGAUCAUCAUCGAUUCGUGGCAUUGACUUUUUGCCGCUGCCUCUACCGUUACCACCAGCGCCGCCACCAGCGCCAACACCGCCACCAGCGGGAGCGGGAGGGGAAGCAGCGUUGGCGGAAGGAAAGAGCCCAGAGGUUUGGGACUGUUGACCAGGUUGACCGGGAGGAAGGGGACGGACAAAAGAAUGAGGUCGUUGGAGGAGCACGAAUUCGUUGUCACGGUUUUUUAACCUUCUACCAUGGCCUUUACCACCCCCACCGCCACCGCCUCCCCCACCGCCACCCCUGCCUCUCCCGAACCCAUGCCCACCGUGCCCACCGUGUGCACCACGACGACCAUGUCCAUGUGCGCCUCGACUCCCAUCUGAAAGCUCAUCAAACAGAGCCAGAGGUGGAGGUGGUCUGUGAUGACCAGGAUGAGGGUGGGGGUAGUGAUGGUGGCCACCCCCGCCUCCGCCGCCGCCGCCGCCACGGGGCAUACCGUUCUCGAGAUGGUGCGCCAUCGAUGGGUGGGGGGGAGGAGGCGGGCGCAUGUCGGGGUUUGGAUGAGGUCUCGUAUGCAUACCCAUCCUCAGUCCCAUAUCCACGCCUGACUCGGGGGCAAGCGGUGGAGGAGGAGGAGGAGGGUGUGGUGGACGGUGGUGGAGCCCGUUAGUUAUAGUAGGGGGUGGACGAGGAGGAGGUCGGGCAAGCAGAGUGGGAGGACGAGGAUGAUCGCGGGAUUUGAUUUCCGGUCCAGGUAUGACUGGACUGGUAGGCGAAGGAAGAUACGAGUCGGGAGAUGCUUCCCUUGUAGGCGAAGGUCUUCGAAGCAGGAUCUUGACCUCUCGUUCGGGCUCUGGUUCCUUCUUGGCUGCUGCUUGUCUAUCCCUUCUCUUCCCGCCGUCCCCUCCCCUCUUUCUUCCUCUUCGCCUUUCGCGCUGUUUUUUCCCUCCCAAACCGGAUGCUUCGACCUCGACAUCAUCAUCCCUCAAAACUUGCAAUGUAAGAUCAAACCUUGCGGCUUCCUGCAGGAUGACAUGACCCUCCGCCCUGGCCAUAUAAUCCAACCCGUCUUUGGCAUCGCCGUCCCUCGCGGAAGGCGUCGGCUCGGCACGGCCCUGUUCGAGCUCGACGAAUACAGGCGGGUUUCCGACGUAUAAUAUCGGGCCUUUUUCUCGCUCGUACCCAUUGUCUUCAGCAUCCCAUUCCUUCUCCUCGGCAUCCAUGAUUUUCUUGAAAUAGGCGACACAGGAAAAAACAGCUUCUACCCAUUUUGGCAAAUCUUCUUCACCGUCCAUAGGCGGGAUGGCGAGUUCGUCUACGAUAGAGUCGAGAGAGGCGGUUUCCUUGGCGCGCUGGAGACGCAUGCCGCUGCCGCGUUUGUAGUUUGUACCCGACUGGAUGGCGAGUGAUGGAUCAGAUGAAAGGACGUCGUGGAAACGGAGGGCGUGUUCAAUGUAUCGGGCUGCUUGACGGGCUGCAACAGCAGACGCGUUGGAUCCCUUCUUCAAAAGAUCAAGCGUGCUGAUUGCUAUAUAUAUAUAAAAGAAAAAAACCCCAAGUUGUUA
rnacentral:sRNA from 1 species